UAGCCUCAAGUGAUGAUUAUUGGAGGUAGAGCACUGUUUGGACGAGGGGCCCCUCUCGGGUUACCGAAUUCAGACAAACUCCGAAUGCCAAUUAAUUUAACUUGGGAGUCAGAACAUGGGUGAUAAGGUCCGUGUUCGAAAGGGAAACAGCCCAGACCACCAGCUAAGGUCCCAAAAUAUAUGUUAAGUGGAAAAGGAUGUGGCGUUGCCCAGACAACUAGGAUGUUGGCUUAGAAGCAGCCAUCAUUUAAAGAGUGCGUAAUAGCUCACUAGUCGAGUGACACUGCGCCGAAAAUGUACCGGGGCUAAACAUAUUACCGAAGCUGUGGAUUGUCCUUUGGACAAUGGUAGGAGAGCGUUCUAAGGGCGUUGAAGCAUGAUCGUAAGGACAUGUGGAGCGCUUAGAAGUGAGAAUGCCGGUGUGAGUAGCGAAAGACGGGUGAGAAUCCCGUCCACCGAUUGACUAAGGUUUCCAGAGGAAGGCUCGUCCGCUCUGGGUUAGUCGGGUCCUAAGCUGAGGCCGACAGGCGUAGGCGAUGGAUAACAGGUUGAUAUUCCUGUACCACCUAUAAUCGUUUUAAUCGAUGGGGGGACGCAGUAGGAUAGGCGAAGCGUGCGAUUGGAUUGCACGUCUAAGCAGUAAGGCUGAGUAUUAGGCAAAUCCGGUACUCGUUAAGGCUGAGC
rnacentral:rRNA from 1 species